ACGAAGCCUUUGGGGCGGGCGCCCGCUUGGACGGGCACGUGGGGCCCCUUCGUCCUCAGCGUCCGGGCGCCCCGCACCAGUCCCCACCCCCGCCCCGGCCCUGUGGCGGCAGCCGGUGGGGAGAAAGACCAAAAUCAUCCCGCGCCGCCGCCAUCAGAGUCGCGGCUGUGCUGAUGGUUUCUGGGAAGUGCUAGAAACGGGGCCAUAAAGAGAAUGGCGUCCAUUUACAUAAUGCUUUGUCUGCAUUUUGCAACUCUUCGUUAAGCCCGCAGAAACCCCACCUCCUACGCUGGUGUCGUUUUAGUCGCUACCGCCUCGUCACACGUUUAAGACAAUGGCGUGCAUUUAUCCGGGCUCUUGGGGGGGUUCCUGCGGUUUCCCCCGCGAUGGUUACGCUCCCGCUGCUGCUUUUCGGCACCUUCCCUGCUCAGCGCAGCCAUCGCGCCCGCGCUGUCCGGGGGCGGCCCCCAGCUGGGCCCGCCAUCUUGGAGGACCUUUCCUGACGGUGUGGAGCCGAGCGGCCCUCCCGCUAAUAAAAGAUGAAUUCAUUUAGGCCCAGAGAGAUGAAGUGACUGAUUGAAGGUCACACAGUAUCCAGGAUGGAUUCCAGACCUUCUGAUAAACUUAUUGACCUGCACUAUCUUGUGGAUAUGUGAAUGAAUUCCACACCUCCCAUUUUACAGAUGAAGCCACUGAGAUACAGAGUAACUGACUAAAUAGUCACCACCCCACCCCUGGAGCCUCACAUGACUCUUCCAGAUUGGUUAAAGGGUUUAACAAGGUUGGCAAGAGCUAUUCGGUAUGUGACUAUGUGAUGCGUGAGGCACAGCAGGCUGUGAUAGAGACUAAUUGACGGUGGUCUCAGCCUCUCUGACCACUUCAGUUACCGUCUGCACGUGGAUGAUGCCCAGAUCGCUCUCCAGACCAGACUAUCCAAUUGUUCACACGGACAACUUCACUGGGACGUUUUGAGGACUCAGCAGAAUGCAGCUCCUGCUCUGCCCCUCUUGCUUCUCCUCCAGUGUCCUGUCACGUGAUGACAUGUGGUCUUAUCACUGUAAUGUGGUAGUUGAGGCUGUGACUCUGGAGCUAGCCUGAUGGGGACUGAAUUCUGACUCAGUCACUUAUGUGACCUUGGAAAUGAACAAAACUACGGGAGGUCUAGGAAUGGCAAAGUGGCACCUGUGCUUCGAAUGCUCAGAUUAUGUGAAAGGAAUUGAAGCAGACACUGUGCGAGGGGAAGCCUCAGUCCCUCCUUAAGGAGCAUUUCUUGGACCAUUUUUCAGGCCUUCUCCAGGGAGCGGACCCUGCAGAGAAUUCUGAGGACUCAAGACCCUCCUGGGUAUUCAUCAGCUGAGCCUUGGGGUGUUUGCCUGCCUCUGACAAGGAAAGUGACCAAGAUUGGGAGGGAUUGAAUUUGGUGUUCUCUUCCAACCGUGCCCCCUUCUCUCCCUAGCCACUCACCCCCCGCCCCCAAGUCCAGGACUCCUGUGUCUUGAUUUCCAAGGUCUUAGAGCUCUGCUUGUUUUCUCUUGUUGCAGUGUUAGCAUCACGGGAUGGUUUAUGGAGGAGUCUUUAGCAUCCCAGGUCUCUUAUCAGUCCUUUGCCAAAGCCACGCCAAAUAAAUAUAUGAUGUAAUUGAAACCCCUGUAUUCACUAUGAAAAAUGGUUUCAGACCCUCCAGCCCUCCUGCUUCCCCACCCCAACUCCUCUUCCCACACUGGAUUGCUACCUCUAAACCCUUCAGGUGGUGCUUAGGAAUUCAGAGGCUACCACUGAUUUGUUCUUAUGUGACUUCUCCUUGCUAAUCCCCUACCCCUACCCUGAAUCAGGAAAUCUUUUUGUUUUCCAAGAGACCUACUGAAUUACUUUCAAGUACCUCUAAUGGUGAAAUUUUAGGUGCCAGGUGGGUCUGGAGCAAGGAGGAUAUUUUUGGAAGGAGGACUACUAAGAGUCUGACAGAUCACAUCAAAAUACACCAGGCUUUCUACUAUGUCACCAUUUAUACAGAGGAACCCACAGAGGGAGGUUUUGAGUUAAUCACUUAUACAUAGUCUUUGAGCCUACAUGGAGCCUAUCCUGAAAGUAUCCUACCUCGUAGGUCUUGGGUGGCAGGAAGUGAUGGGUACUUUGAAGAAGCAGCUCACUGUUUCCGAAGAGUGAACCCAGAUGUGUUUGGUGGGGUUAGGGAGAGAGACCUAAAAGUCUGGAUUGUCAAUAGAAUCAGUUGCAGGCAUUAUUAGAAAGUUACUUCCUCGUCAUUACUUCUGUCCACUCUUGCACCUGCCCCAUCACAUUUCAUUCUCAGAGCCUUCAUCUGCACUGGGGGUGGAAGAGAGUGUCAGCAACUCACAAUAACACUGGUCCCAGCUCCAUCCAACUCCACCCAGCCCUGCCCAAAGUAGAGGGAGUGCAGGGAAAGGAAGAGGGAUCUAGUUUUUGAAUUUUAGGCAUCAUUUCACUAGAUAGGAAGGGGAACCUGGGGACCUUCCUUAGGGCCUUUCAAAUCAUAAUACCAACCUGCACUGGAAAUGUCCAUGGGGUGGCACGUCUCUUGUUGGUUUUUAGGUCUUUGAUUCUGGAUUCCUGUUCACAUUCUCACCAGAGGCUGACUUUGGUAAAGACUGACAAAUAUGAUAUGGUCCAGAUUUUAAUUCUUCCAACCCACUGUGUCCAGUAAUGCACUUGAACAUGCUUGAUCAAGUUCCUGGCCUUGGGUGUGGUCAGGGUCAGUGCUGCAUCAGUCGUCUGUUAUCUGGACAGGCUGGUCACUCCAGACCAGGCAGUCAGCAGAAGCUGGAGGUCACAGUGAGUAUCUGCCUUCCACAUCCCAUCCCACUCCUGAGAUUUUAGCAAGGUAAGGAGUCCACUGACGCACCUGCCUUAGGGGCUGCCAGGGGCUCGAGUCAGUCCAGGACUAAAUCAUUAGCAGGGUUCACAAAGGAGCCCUUUCUGCCUAAACUCAACUCUGUGCUGUGGCCUUCUUCCCGUUCCCACCCCCAUGGAUAAGACCAUAAGGAUACAUGGUAACUUGGCCACAGCACCUGCCCCAUCACACUUCAUUCUUAGAGCCUUCAUCUUCACUGGGGGUGGAAGAGAGUGUCAGCAACAGAAUAACUGGUCCCAGCUAGUUGGGUAUACUGGUCAUUCCUAUCCUUUUUCUGAAAGGGGUCACCUUUCUUCUCAUUAAAAUAUCCAAGGUAUUUUCACCCCUCCACACACAAACACACACAGACACGUGUGUGCACACAGAGGGGGUGUUUCUGGUGUCUGUUGCUUAAGAUAGUACUAGUAGUCAUAAGCUGGUAUGGACUGGGUAACACUUUAGUUCAAUUCAGUCACUCAGUCAUAUCCGACUCUUUGUGACCCCAUGGACUGCAGCACGCCAGGCUUCCCUGUCCAUCACCAACUCCUAGAGCUU